rnacentral:lncRNA from 1 species
CGUAGAACUACUUCACUUUAAUCAUCUAGAAAAUACCUUUUCCUCAUAUCAGAGGCUUCAAGGUCAAGUAGAUGUCUUCUUAUUUUUCAGCUGAGAUUGGGAAGGUGAUGAAAGAAACAAUACAACCAGAAUCCUAUCUCCACAAGCUGAAGUAAAGAAGAAAUCUUACAUCACGGAUAAACUCAUUUUUUUGCCGAUGAUGGAUGAAGGGGAGGAAUACAACUGUAGGACAAGUACAGAGGGCUGAAGGACAGCUAUGUCAACAAGGAAGCAAUGCAGGAACAGAAACCUGAAUCAAUGUUCAGUCAGACCCUUUAAGUAUGCAGCUCAUUUUUGUUUUUUGCACCCUUUGCAUUACCUGCCUGCAGUGAUGGUACAUCUACUGCAAUUCCCUGUGUAUCCUGCUGAUCCUUGUUCUUCCCAAGACAAGGC